GACAGAGGGUGCAAACGUUGUUCGGAAUUACUGGGCGUAAAGCGUGUGUAGGCGGUCUGCUAAGUCGGGUGUGAAAGCCCCGGGCUCAACCCGGGAACUGCGUCCGAGACUGGCAGGCUCGAAUCCGGGAGAGGGAUGUGGAAUUCCAGGUGUAGCGGUGAAAUGCGUAGAUAUCUGGAGGAACACCGGUGGCGAAGGCGGCAUCCUGGACCGGUAUUGACGCUGAGGCGCGAAAGCUAGGGGAGCGAACGGG
rnacentral:rRNA from 1 species